rnacentral:rRNA from 1 species
UACAGACGGCGCAAGCGUUAUCCGGAAUGAUUGGGCGUAAAGCGUCUGUAGGUGGUUCGCGAAGUCUACUGUUAAAUCCCAGGGCUCAACCUUGGACAGGCAGUGGAGAACUCGCGGACUAGAGUACGGUAGGGGUAGAGGGAAGUUCCCGGUGAAGCAGUGAAAUGCACAGAAGAUCGGGAAGAACACCAGUGGCGAAGGCGCUCUACGUAGGCCGUGACUGACACUGAGAGACGAUAGCUAGGGGAGCGAACAGG